UACGAAGGGGGCUAGCGUUGCUCGGAAUCACUGGGCGUAAAGGGUGCGUAGGCGGGUCUUUAAGUCAGGGGUGAAAUCCUGGAGCUCAACUCCAGAACUGCCUUUGAUACUGAAGAUCUUGAGUUCGGGAGAGGUGAGUGGAACUGCGAGUGUAGAGGUGAAAUUCGUAGAUAUUCGCAAGAACACCAGUGGCGAAGGCGGCUCACUGGCCCGAUACUGACGCUGUGGCGCGAAAGCUAGGGGAGCGAACGGG
rnacentral:rRNA from 1 species